GAAUGUGAGGGUGAUCUGUCUGGGUGAUUGCCUGGGUUGAUUUGGCUGAUCUGGCUGGCCAGACUGGUGUCCCUUCUUCCUUCACUGCUCCAUGUGCAUCCCUCCCAAAGCUAUGUGCUUGGUGGAAGAGGAUGACCAUUACAGGCAGAAAGAGCAUACCAUUCUUCUGUUAAGGGUAAUUCAAAUGAAACCAAUUGUCAAAUUUGAGUCCAUUGAUUGGGUUCCAACCCUC
rnacentral:sRNA from 1 species